rnacentral:lncRNA from 1 species
AGACAAGGAAGCUCAGCUCAGCCUUUUUCGUGUGUGGGCAUCUGGACACAGGAUGCUGCUGCCCAUUCCAUUCUUCUCUCCCAUUUUCUGCUAUUUUGUUUUGAGGAAAGACCAUACUAUAACACUCAUUCUACUUACAAGGUUGUUAGCUAAUGCUGCCUGCAAAGCAGAAUAGUGGAGGAGGUUUCAAGAAAUUUGAAUGUUUCAUGAUCCCUGGUUGCAGUGAACACUAUUCGUAGUGUCAGUAUACUUUUAAAAAUGUGAUUAUACUGAAUAUGUGAACUUUAAUGACCUGCUGUGUACAACUGCUUAAA